GUUGAUGUUUGCUUGUUCGGGCUGCUGGGAAUGGCCCACGAAUUUAGGAUUAAAUUACUAAUGGUGGAUCUGUGGCGAGGGAGUGGAGCAACACUUCAGAAGGAGAUGCCCUGUUAUCCCAUCCCCAACAAAAGGCCAAUCUUGAUCUGUGCAAGAAAGAACAGACAGGGAAGGAAAUAUUCUCAGAGCUCUCACGGACCUCAAAACACCUCUCCAGAAGACUAAGGGUUGGAUAGGCAUCAUGCUGGGAAAAACUUACAGCUUUGGAGGAAAAGAGAGUGAAGGAGAGGAGAGGCAAGAAGUGGAGCAGUAUCACUCUCAAUCAGCAAGAAACAUUCAUUAAAGACCCAGAGAACCUCUUCUCCUGGGGUUAACAGGAACAGAUUCCCACUGUGACCAAAGAAAUAAGUGCCUCUACCUACCCAGCACCCUGCAUUGCUCACUGGUAAACCAGGAACAUCGCUCUGAGGCCACCUGUGUAGACCUGUGAGUAAUACAAGGCAGGCAGUACUUUGCACUUUGCUUUCUUACUGUGUUUUAUACAGCUUAACAAGUUCUCCGCGGUUCAGUAAGCGCAUAAAAGGUUCAAAGUUUCUUGUUGUUUAUAAGAAGAAUGUCUGUGAUUUACCACCGAUGCAAUAAAACUGCUGAAAAUAAUAAUCAUAAUUUGUGGAUCUAACCCAACAGAAAUGCCACAGUCCAGUUCACCACCCUUCUCAGUCAAGAUACGAGUCACCUACAGAUAAUUAAACUCUAUGAAAGCCAAGUACACAAGAGAGAACCCACUGAGUAGAGUCAUAACCCUCUGUUAAAAACAUCUCUUAGCAACAUGGCAGCAUGAAGGACUUUGAAAAUAACGCUGUGAGUACUUGCUUGCUGGGUUCCAGUCUCAUCUGGAAGCCCUCAUCACCAUCACCUUGGCAAAUUUACCUCUCUGGGUACUCUGCACAUUGAAAGAUGAUGGUUAAACCACUCCUUGAUGCCAUCUCGAGUGUGAUUACACGAGGUAAGGGAGCAGAGUCUCCUAGACUCACU